CCUACGGGUGGCUGCAGUGAGGAAUAUUGGUCAAUGGGCGCGAGCCUGAACCAGCCAAGUAGCGUGAAGGAUGACUGCCCUACGGGUUGUAAACUUCUUUUAUAAAGGAAUAAAGUGAGGCACGUGUGCCAUUUUGUAUGUACUUUAUGAAUAAGGAUCGGCUAACUCCGUGCAAGCAGCCGAGGUAAUACGGAGGCUCCGAGCGUUCUCCGGAUUUAUUGGGUUUAAAGGGAGCGUAGAUGGGUUGUUAAGUCAGUUGUGAAAGUUUGCGGGUCAACCGUAAAAUUGCAAUUGAUACUGGCAGCCUUGAGUACAGUUGAGGUAGGCGGAAUUCGUGGUGUAGCGGUGAAAUGCGUAGAUAUCACGAAGAACUCCGAUUGCGAAGGCAACCUACUAAACUGCCACUGACAUUGAUGCUCGAAAGUGUGGGUAUCAAACAGGAUUAGAUACCCUAGUAGUC
rnacentral:rRNA from 1 species